rnacentral:rRNA from 1 species
UACGUAGGGGGCGAGCGUUGUUCGGAUUUACUGGGCGUAAAGAGCGCGUAGGCGGCCGGAUAAGUCCGUUGUGAAAUCCCCCGGCUCAACCGGGGACCCGCUUCGGAAACUGUCCGGCUUGAGUCGCGGAGAGGAGAGCGGAAUUCCCAGUGUAGCGGUGAAAUGCGUAGAUAUUGGGAGGAACACCGGUGGCGAAGGCGGCUCUCUGGACGCGUACUGACGCUGAGGCGCGAAAGCUAGGGGAGCAAACGGG